AUUGAACGCUGGCGGCAGGCCUAACACAUGCAAGUCGAGCGGAGCGGCGGACGGGUGAGUAAUGCCUCGGAAUCUGCCUGGUAGUGGGGGAUAACGUCCGGAAACGGGCGCUAAUACCGCAUACUAUCAGAUGAGCCUAGGUCGGAUUAGCUAGUUGGUGGGGUAAAGGCCUACCAAGGCGACGAUCCGUAACUGGUCUGAGAGGAUGAUCAGUCACACGAGAACGGUGACACGGUCCGGACUCCUAAGAUAGGCAGCAGUGGGGAAUAUUGGGCAAUGGGCGAAGGCCUGAUCCAGCCAUGCCGCGUAGGUGAAGAAGGCCAUCGGGUUGUGAAGUACUUUCAGCGGGGAGACGUUACGCGCAGAAGAAGCACCGGCUAACUCCGUGCCAGCAGCCGCGGUAAUUC
rnacentral:rRNA from 1 species